GGAGGGAUGCCGGAGUGGUUGAACGGGCCGCACUCGAAAUGCGGUGUACCCCUGCUGGUACCCUGGGUUCGAAUCCCAGUCCCUCCGCCA
rnacentral:tRNA from 1 species